UACGAAGGGGGCUAGCGUUGCUCGGAAUCACUGGGCGUAAAGCGCACGUAGGCGGAUUGUUAAGUCGGGGGUGAAAUCCUGGAGCUCAACUCCAGAACUGCCUUCGAUACUGGCGAUCGUUGAGUCCGGGAGAGGUGAGGUGGAACUCCGAGUGUAGAGGUGAAAAUUCGUAGAUAUUCGGAAGAACACCAGUGGCGAAGGCGGCUCACUGGCCCGGUACUGACGCUGAGGUGCGAAAGCGUGGGAG
rnacentral:rRNA from 1 species